rnacentral:rRNA from 1 species
UACACGAGCGGCGAACGGGUGAGUAACACGUGAGCAACCUGCCCCUGACUCUGGGAUAAGCGGUGGAAACGCCGUCUAAUACCGGAUACGACCUUUCAGCUCAUGCUGGAGGGUGGAAAGUUUUAUCGGUCAGGGAUGGGCUCGCGGCCUAUCAGCUUGUUGGUGGGGUAAAGGCCUACCAAGGCGAUUACGGGUAGCCGGCCUGAGAGGGCGACCGGCCACACUGGGACUGAGACACGGCCCAGACUCCUGCGGGAGGCAGCAGUGGGGAAUAUUGCACAAUGGGCGAAAGCCUGAUGCAGCGACGCCGCGUGGGGGAUGACGGCCUUCGGGUUGUAAACCUCUUUUACCACCAACGCAGGCUCCACGUUCUCGUGGGGUUGACGGUAGGUGGGGAAUAAGGACCGGCUAACUACGUGCCAGCAGCCGCGGUAAUACGUAGGGUCCGAGCGUUGUCCGGAAUUAUUGGGCGUAAAGAGCUCGUAGGCGGCGUGUCACGUCUGCUGUGAAAGACCGGGGCUUAACUCCGGUUCUGCAGUGGAUACGGGCAUGCUAGAGGUAGGUAGGGGAGACUGGAAUUCCUGGUGUAGCGGUGAAAUGCGCAGAUAUCAGGAGGAACACCGGUGGCGAAGGCGGGUCUCUGGGCCUUA